CCUACGGGUGGCAGCAGUGGGGAAUAUUGGACAAUGGGCGAAAGCCUGAUCCAGCCAUGCCGCGUGUGUGAAGAAGGCCUUCGGGUUGUAAAGCACUUUCAGUGGGGAAGAAAGCCUUGGGGCUAAUACCCUCGAGGAAGGACAUCACCCACAGAAGAAGCACCGGCUAACUCCGUGCCAGCAGCCGCGGUAAUACGGAGGGUGCGAGCGUUAAUCGGAAUUACUGGGCGUAAAGCGCGCGUAGGCGGUCUGAUAAGCCGGUUGUGAAAGCCCCGGGCUCAACCUGGGAACGGCAUCCGGAACUGUCAGGCUAGAGUGCAGGAGAGGAAGGUAGGAUUCCCGGUGUAGCGGUGAAAUGCGUAGAGAUCGGGAGGAAUACCAGUGGCGAAGGCGGCCUUCUGGACUGACACUGACGCUGAGGUGCGAAAGCGUGGGUAGCAAACAGGAUUAAUACCCUAGUAGUC
rnacentral:rRNA from 1 species